rnacentral:rRNA from 1 species
AGAGUUUGAUCCUGGCUCAGGAUGAACGCUAGCGACAGGCUUAACACAUGCAAGUCGAGGGGCAGCGGGGGUAGCAAUACCCGCCGGCGACCGGCGCACGGGUGAGUAACGCGUAUGCAACUUACCUAUCAGAGGGGGAUAACCCGGCGAAAGUCGGACUAAUACCGCAUGAAGCAGGGAUCCCGCAUGGGAAUAUUUGCUAAAGAUUCAUCGCUGAUAGAUAGGCAUGCGUUCCAUUAGGCAGUUGGCGGGGUAACGGCCCACCAAACCGACGAUGGAUAGGGGUUCUGAGAGGAAGGUCCCCCACAUUGGUACUGAGACACGGACCAAACUCCUACGGGAGGCAGCAGUGAGGAAUAUUGGUCAAUGGCCGAGAGGCUGAACCAGCCAAGUCGCGUGAGGGAUGAAGGUUCUAUGGAUCGUAAACCUCUUUUAUAAGGGAAUAAAGUGCGGGACGUGUCCCGUUUUGUAUGUACCUUAUGAAUAAGGAUCGGCUAACUCCGUGCCAGCAGCCGCGGUAAUACGGAGGAUCCGAGCGUUAUCCGGAUUUAUUGGGUUUAAAGGGAGCGUAGAUGGAUGUUUAAGUCAGUUGUGAAAGUUUGCGGCUCAACCGUAAAAUUGCAGUUGAUACUGGAUAUCUUGAGUGCAGUUGAGGCAGGCGGAAUUCGUGGUGUAGCGGUGAAAUGCUUAGAUAUCACGAAGAACUCCGAUUGCGAAGGCAGCCUGCUAAGCUGCAACUGACAUUGAGGCUCGAAAGUGUGGGUAUCAAACAGGAUUAGAUACCCUGGUAGUCCACACGGUAAACGAUGAAUACUCGCUGUUUGCGAUAUACGGCAAGCGGCCAAGCGAAAGCGUUAAGUAUUCCACCUGGGGAGUACGCCGGCAACGGUGAAACUCAAAGGAAUUGACGGGGGCCCGCACAAGCGGAGGAACAUGUG